ensembl:lncRNA
GACUGUGGUUGGGGGGAGAGAAAAUUGGCAAUACGUGGCUUAAUGAAACUGAGUAUGUUUCCACUCAGUCUUUAUAGUCCUCAUGCCAGUCUGUUAUAUACAAUACUGAGUUGUAAAUAUGUUUCUUGGCCUGGCUAAUCCAGCCAAGUGCACAGCAUAGGCUGCACUGUUAUCAUGAAAUGUGUUCUGUCAGAGCAAUUCUGCUGUGAGGCCGCUCAGGUAGAGAGAGGGCCGUGAUCGUAAGAACUUUGCUUCGUUUACUUUUUGCUUUGUCUUUGUGUUCUAUUUUUAGGAGUAUCUUUUCAGCUGACUCAUUUCACUAACACAGGCUGGUAUGUUUUUUCACAGAGGCAACCUCUGUUCUGAUUCUGUCAGGGUGGGCAUGGUGCACUGCCUGGCGUGAAUCACCUUCACCCCAUUUAAAAGUGUUACCAAAUGCAUUACCAACAGGCAUUAUUUUCACUUUUUAUUGGUACAUGUUGAAUACAUAUGAUGGAUUUCAUUAUGGUGUAUUCAUACACAGCAUUUCCCACAUUCAUCCCCACUAUCUCCUAUUCUAUUAUCUAUCUAUCUAUCUAUCUAUCUAUCUAUCUAUCUAUCUAUCAUCUUUCCUUCUAUAGACAUUCCAAUAUAUUUCACUAAGGUUGAUUACAGUGUUGUAGGUGAGAAAUUAUUUAUAGAAGCAUGGGCUUCUUGCUAUUGUGUAUACCACUGAAGAAAAUCUCUCUCCCUCCCCCAGUCACCAUUAAGUGUCUUGGGGAAGAGGGGGCCUCCCUCACACCCUCCUCACCCUAACUACUAUAAUUCACUUAUAGGCUCUGGGGAUUGGCAGGCUCAAGGGCCCAGGGAAGCAGGUCCAAUCUUACAUUGGUUUGUCAAUAUCUCGACUGUUAUGAAUUCAAGAGUGGAAAAGCCAUGUCAUAUUCUGAAGAUAGAAUUCUACUUUACUUUUGUCCUCUCCCGGGCUCUUAUAUUCUUCAUGGUCUUCCAUGAUAUUCCUGGAGCCUUGAAGCGAGUGAGAUCAAUAUCCCAUUUGUGGCUGAAUACCCAACAAUUCCUUAAUCUCAGUACUUUGACCAUGUUCAAGCUUUGAGUUACUGCCCUCUACAUAAAGGAGUUUCUCUUAAAGAUUUUAGUAGCACUAAUCUACCUGUAUAAAUAAAUAUAUUUAGGUAGCCAUUUGAUGUGCACACCAUGUCCAUCUAGCAAAACAAAGGCAGUAGCUUUUCCACUAAAGCCCAUGGUCUCCUCAGCCACAGGCUUUAGAUUAGGCUUAUGGAACCAGACAUGGAUUCCCUCUUGUGGAGUGGGCCUAGAAUUCAAAAGGAGGACCAGUUACCCCCAGUAGUGAUUUGCCACCAUUUCACCACGAGGCACUUUUUACCUGAUACACCAGCAGCAUAAUAUGCAGACUGCAUAGCUGAGUAAGCUGAGCUGAUGAUAAUUCUCCUCCCAGGAGCCUAUGCAGCACCAUCUACCACUAUGUAAACUAGCCAGCAUGGAGGAAGCCAUUCUAGUUCCGUCUUGUUUUCUCUAUGUCUUGCAACCAACAUAAGAGAUAUCUUCAGUAAUGUGGUCUUACUAUGUAGUUCUUGUGGGCAACAAGCAUCUAUGACAAAUGCCAUUGUGCAGUGUGUACUGGAAAGUAGAAAGAUACUCUGCAAUCACGUAAGCAAACAAUGCCCUCGAUAACACUAUUGUAGUGUCUCUUGGGACCUACAUAUCCAUUCUAUCCAUCAUGGAUGGUCUACUCUACUCCUAGGAGAAGGAUGCUGUUUUUCUGAUGAGUUUUUCUUGUGUUUUAUUUUAUCGUUGUUGUUCUAGUGUUGGAAGAACAGAUGAUCUCCUUCUCCCCCUUUUCCUCUCACUCUCCCUCUUCCCCUUUCUCUUUCCUGAACAUGUGGAGACUUUUGGUCCCUUGCCAUUGUCCCCUAAACAAUCUAGUUUAUCACUAUUAUAAAGCACCUGUGUUGUAUAAGGUAUCAUAAACCAUCUGGGGAUGACUUAAAGAAUAUGCAAGAACACCCCUUGGUUAUAUUGCAAAUACUGUGUACCAUUUUAUAUAAGAGAGUCAACGACCUACAGAUUUUCAGAUUUUAGUAUCCCGAAGGGGCUCCUGGAGCCAAUCUCCCUUUGAUACUGAAGGGGCGUGCUCUAUGCACGUGCACACGAAGUGGCUAAUGCUAUUGUGGCAGCUGACAAGGCCCAGAGUCAGCAAGCGAGUCAAUAAACUGAAAGCCAAAGGGAGCCCUGAGCCUGAGAAAUGGGAAAGGGAAGGUUGACUUGAUGAGGAUAGGCAGGCUCAGGACACAGGAGCUGCUGAGGUCCAUUUUAGUUAAUGAGAAGAAAAGCCCAAUGAUCCAGCCUAGAAAUGUCAGGCAAAAAGAAUUCUCUCCUCCUUGGGUAGGUCAGGCUCUAACUGGUUGAAGGACACUCACAAAAUAAAAGCUCAACUGCUUUAUUUGUCAUGAAAAUUCAAAUGGUAUUACAUUUCCCCCAGGCUCAGCUGUUGAUAAAAAAAAAAGUCCCCAACUGAAAGCACUUUUGGAAAAUGGUGAAUGUUUUAGGAAUUUGACCUAAGGAAGAAAGUUAGGCUGUUGGAAAGUGCCCUUGGAUGACUCACUGAAGUCUCACUCUCUUUUUUCCAAAUUUAGCUCCUUUUUUUUCUCGUUGCUUCCUGGCCAUCGUGAGGUGAGCACCCUCCUUUUUCACAUGCAUCUGCCAUAGGUUUCUGUCUCCAUAGAUCCCAAGCAACAGAGUCAAGUGACCUUGGACUGAAUCCUUCGAAACCACCAGUCAAAAAUAAACCUCUUCUCCUUCUAAGUUGAUCCUCUUGGUUAUUCUGUCUCAGUAUCAGAAGGCUAACUAGCCAAGUGUCAGUCUCACCACAACUCCAGAAUAAGGUUUGGCUAAAUGGCUUGCUUCUCAGUAGUCCAAUCCAGUCAGCAUACAAGUCGAGCACUAUAGACUCUUAGGUCUGGCCGAGGACUCUGCCUACAUUUCCAUCACUUUACAAACAUGCAUUUGACACAUGUUUUCUCCACUUUUUUAAUCACUAUUAAAUGUCCACUUCAGUCAUGUUGUGUACUUGAGCCUGACAUACCAAUGUCCAUUUUUGUCUUUUAAAAAUGGAACCCUGUAUAUAUUUCCACCAUUACUAUCCUUACUCACCCCCAUCGGACCCAACACCUGCCCCCAUGCAUCUUCUGGAACUUCUGUCCUUCCUAUCUGUAUGAAUCUGGCUGCUUUGUGGAUUUGUACUUUUUUUGUGAAUGGUUUAUUGCACUUAACAUACUGUGCUCCGGUUUUACCUGUGUUGCAAGCAUGUGUCAGAAGUUCCUUCUGUUUUAGGACUACAUAAUGCUUUAGUGUGUGUAUCACCCCAUUGUAUAUGCAGUAGUUUGCUCGUCAGUCCAUUUAUCUAUGGAUACUCCAGGUAUAUAUAUACCUCCGGCAAUAAGGAGUAUUUCUGUGAGUGGGUACAGAUCCUUACUUGGGGGCUUCUAGAUAUAUAUCCAGAAGUGAGGUAUGCCUUCCAUAUCUUAGUCCUGACCAGAACUUACUGGAGUUUUAGCUUUAUUCAGCUAGUUCUAGUCACACUUGAAGUGGAUGGAGGGAGAUUUACUCAUCUUGGUGGGACUGUAACCAUGAGUUACUUGGUAGAUAGCAAAUUCCUGGAAGGAAGUUAUAGGAACCCACCUUUUCGUUGUUAUUGUUCUAGAGAUGGAGCUCAAAGCCUAAAGCAUGCUAAGCAAUAGCUUUAUCUCUGAACUCUAUCCUUGGUCUUAUGCACUGUGAAUGUCAAAAUAUCCUGUUAUUCAUCCCAAAGGUGAGGACUCUGGAUGCAUCAGAAACAAAGGACUCCAGUUAAAACCAGGACUAAGAGAUAAGAUCCACUAAGCCGUGCUUGGAAAGGGUUAAUGAAACAGAAACCUUGUAGCCCUCAGUUUAUCAUCUUAAAAAUUAUCUCUGAAUGAGACAGUACUGAUAUUGAUACUCCUUCCAGAAUUAUAAUUUGGGUUUUUAAAUUAUAUUUUAAAAUAAUACAAGAAAUAUACACUAAUAUCCUCUAAUUUUGUGUACAUUUCAGGAUAGAGUGAGAGCCAGCCUGACUUCAUUUAGGAUUGGUUUUUAAGCUGAAAUCAGAGUAGCCGGUUGUAGGUGUCUCACAGGAGAGAGGGCACUGUGUGGCUUACUUGCAUUCCUUGAGUAUUUGCUCAUGUCAUUGUUCCCCUUUGAGUUUCGUGGCAAUUCAGUACACAGCCAUGGGUUUAGGAGCAAAAUGUUGGAAACUCAGCAAUCUCUGAAAUGGAGUUGAAGCUCUCCAGUACCUUCUACGUAUCGCUCCCAUGGCUUCUUAUGUGAGGUGGGUUGACUGCAUGGUGUGUAGCUCCCUAAAAUACACCUAGCAUGCUUCUAUCACAUAGCUCUCCCUCAGGCCAGUGGCCAUAGCUUUGGCUUUCCCCUGAAGGGCUCUUUUAGCACUGUGAAGACAAAUCUAAAGGGAUCAAGAAUCUCACAGCUCCCUGUCUUACAUUCCACAACAUUUUUUCCCACCUAUGUGGACCCUCUGGCUGCCAGCACAACAGAGCACAAGCCGAUACAAGAAGACAUGCAUACCACACACUUCCCUCUGGAGCCUGAGCCAAGAAUCCUGCUUGCCUGAGAAACACAGGCCAGUGUUGGUUUUGGAUACCACCACCAACUACCAGUACAAUGUUUGACCUGUUUUCUCAGAGAUUAGCAAUCAAGAGAGACUUCAAAUGGUUUCACCCUAAUAAACCUUCUGGCAGACAGCUUUCCAAGGAUAAGAUCAAGUCCUACUGAGGCAUUGGUUGAUGAAAGUGGUCAUGAUUAGGAGCCCCAGACCCACUGGAUGCAAAGAGAAUGCUUUACUUCUGUGAAUGAGGAACUGUGUGUAGGACACAGUCUCUGCAGAGACUAUAAAGGGAGGGAGGAAGGCAAACGAGACUACUGGAAGGUGAAGGAAUCGCCAAUGAAGUCACCCUGGGUUUAGCCUUCCCGGCUUCUCUUCCAGCUGGCCAGCUGCCUGGCCCUGAUUUCAUCUGAGAGAUAAGACUACCCUCCCACCUUUAAUCCGAUCCUGAUUCCUUCUAGGUUACCAGGUUCUCUGUGUUCCAACCCCACACUCACUGGCCUGCCUUCUUCAAAACUGCAGACCUUGCUUCUAGCUCCCCCUGAGUACAGAUGGUAAUAGGGCUGAUUCCCUAUGGUUCCUGAUCUCUGAAACAUCUCUGCACUUCAGUAAUGUGAGGUAGUCCCUGUCUAGGAACUAGGCAUGUGCAGACUUGUUCUGGUAGAGACACUGGGGCAGGUCCUGCUCCCGGCCAGCCAUGGCUUGGGUAUCUGCCAAGAAAAAUGUGCCCCGUGCUUCUCCAUCUAGUUCACACGGAUGCCUCUGGGACCCACGAAGAAUAAAAACCUAGCCUUGAGGCAGCCUCAUGAUAGGUUUUAUAUUCAUUUCUCUGCUUCCUUGUCGGACAGAGAACCUAGAUAAGCCCUGGGGCAGGAAUACCACAUCACUCAAGUUCUGUUGUUUUGGCCCUGAGGUGAGGCUGUACACCAAAGCCGGCACAGUAUACUGGAGCAAGCUGCUCACUUCCUGUCUGAGGAAAGAGAAGCAGAUAGAGCUAGAGUCCCCCAAUCUCCUUUAAGACAACACCCUCAGUGACCUGGAGUCUUCCCAGUAUCCCUUCCUGAAGGUUCUGCUGUCUUCCAGUAGCAGAAGGUCAGAAGGCUUCAGUGAGCAACCCCAGUGCUGAAAUCGAAGUUGGAUUUGAACUUGGAGACUCUUCUCUAUGGGUGCAGAGCGCCAGUCAAGGAAUGUGUAAACCUUCUGGUCCCGCCUACAUUUGCCAGUAUUUUCUAUUCGGAACUUGAGUGUCUCAAUCCAAGUGAAUUUGCUAUAAGACUGGUAGGGUGAAGGGAGCUAUGAGAGCUUCUGUCUCUCCCAUCUCGGCUCACAGACUAUUAGAAACCCAGUCUAAAGGCUGAGUUCUCAUGAAGCUAUGGCAGAGCUGUUGCCCUAGGAUCACAUACCUGCCCGUGCAGUGAGCCAUAUUGCAUGUUUGCGCUGUUAGAUGGAGGAGGACCUCAAAGAGACUGUGGUGGGAAGAAGGGUUUCUUGCUUCCUUUUCUAUGUUCUCAUUUGCAUAGACAGAAUGUUUAAAAAGUGAACAAUAGGUUAUUAAUAUGACUCCUGUAGAAAGUAAAGAUGUGGAUUUAAAUUUGGUUCUCAGAAAUGAAGGGAGGGUUCAUUCGUAGACUGGGGACACCCUGGAAGCCCCUCUGAGCAAAUUCUCUGGGAUUGAAUAGAGCUGUGGCAGGCAGUGCUGGGAGUGGGCAGGGAGUAGCCCUGUUCUAGAAGAACAGGUGGAUGCAGGCGCCCCCACAUGCAACUUUCCAACAGCUUUCUCUCGGCUCUCUGAGGCAUCGACAAACGCUAUGACCUGGAGGCUACUUCUCUUAAUGCAGGAGGAAUUACUUCCAAACCCAAGUAUGUUGCCACCUCCUGCAAGGUCCAGCUUUCCCAAUCAGCUUGGCGUCAAUCUGUGCAAAGUAGAUCUCAGGGCAAAGCCUAGAUCACUACUGUGACUGAAUGGAAGAUCAGCCCUUGGCCUUCAGACAGCUUCUGUGUGGCAGCCCUAUGCUGAUUCAGGUAUAUUCAAGAAACCUGAGUUCAAUUCAGUUAACAAUGACCAAGCUGGAAAAUGGUGUGAACACAGAAAUGUCUCAAUCCUUCCUGUGAGGGGCUCAUAGCCUUUCCUUCUGUGGAUACGAGCAAGAUGGUGUGGAAUGACCUGACACAAUGCACACAGUUUCUGUGUGUGGUGUUUUGGGGGUGCAGGGAGGGGAUGGUGGAGGUUCUGGGUAGUAGAAGGGAGGGACAGAGUAAAGAGAGACAUUCCAAGUGGCUUAUCCCAAUAACUUAGGUUGCAGCUCUCAGAAAGACACAGAGUUAAUUUAAGAGAGCGAGAGCGAGAGAGUUUAGCAUGUUCAAGGUCUUGGUCAACAAUACAAUAUUAAUAGGGGGAAAAAAUUCUGUACUGACCGAACUCUUCCCUCACUGGUUGAAGCUGAUUGAGAUCACAUGGAGCAGAGACUAAGCCGGAAGUGGCCCUGAAGCCCCUCUCCUUGCCUAGGAUCCUAUUACAGUCUCUGAUUCCCCAGCCUGGUAACUCGCCAAGCGUUUUCUUUGUAAAACAGCUCGAGAAAGUCCUUCUUCUGCUUUAAGCCUGACCUACUACAGUAACACAGAAACACAAGGAAGCAGACAAUGAUUUAAUAAGGCAGGAGAGUUCAUCCCCAGGCAACAAGGGCAGAAAACCAGACAGCCUUGAGGAUAUAUGCAAAGUGUUGAAUUUCAGAUUGUGGGAAGGAUGGCAAAGGUGGGAAGGGAGAGAAAGAGUCCCCUUUGAGUUGGAACAGCUUGCUAGCCGUUUCAGGUGUCUGACAGUAAUUUUGCAAUGGAGCCCCUUGGAGCUGUUCUGGAAGGAAGUUCACCAACCCACUACUGUCGCACAGUAAUCACCUACCAUCUUCCCUGUGCAGAUAUCUGUACAGUUAAUACAGCCUAAAAAUAUUUAUUUAUAGUUUUCUGGAAGAUGUUGAAGAUCACACAUUCUAGAAAAUGUAUUCCUGGUAUUCCAACUGUCCCAGUACAAUGAGGUGAAAGAGAUUUGGUUGUUCCAGAAAGCUCUGUCAUGACUCCUAGGCCCAAUUUUAAAGCAUCUUCCAAACUAGGGAGAAGAUUGUCCUCAAUUUUCUUACUGGGAGAACUUAAGACAUGUGUAUAGCUAACUUUCUUCCAGUGCAGAACCCCGCAGGGGAGCAUUCUAGUGAUGUUCUCAUUGAAACCUAACUACAAAAUGGAUUGAAGAAAAGAUAAAUCUCUUACAAAAGACCUCUUUACAUAAGGGGGAGAGAGAGAGAGAGAGAGAGAGAGAGAGAGAGAGAGAGAGAGAGAGGCACUGCUCCCUUUGUUUCACAGGUGAGGUAAAGAAGAGAAAGUAGAAG